rnacentral:rRNA from 1 species
UACGUAGGGAGCAAGCGUUAUUCGGAAUUACUGGGCGUAAAGGGUGCGUAGGCGGCGUGUUAAGUCAGCUGUGAAAUCUCCAAGCUCAACUUGGAACGGCCAGCUGAUACUGAUGUGCUAGAGUGCAGAAGGGGCAAUCGGAAUUCUUGGUGUAGCGGUGAAAUGCGUAGAUAUCAGGAGGAACACCGGUGGCGAAGGCGGGUCUCUGGGCCGAUACUGACGCUGAGGAGCGAAAGCGUGGGGAGCGAACAGG